GAUGAAGAACGCAGCGAAAUGCGAUAAGUAAUGUGAAUUGCAGAAUUCAGUGAAUCAUCGAAUCUUUGAACGCACAUUGCGCCCCCUGGUAUUCCGGGGGGCAUGCCUGUCCGAGCGUCAUUACAACCCUCAAGCCCAGCUUGGUGUUGGGCCCCGCCGCCCCGGCGGGCCCUAAAGUCAGUGGCGGUGCCGUCCGGCUCCGAGCGUAGUAAUUCUUCUCGCUCUGGAGGUCCGGUCGUGUGCUCGCCAGCAACCCCCAAUUUUUUUCAGGUUACCUCGGAUCAGGUAGGGAUACCCGCUGAACUUAAGCAUAUCAAUAAGCGGAGGA
rnacentral:misc_RNA from 1 species